GCGGCAAGAAUUAUCGAACGUCCUAACUGAUUUAUAUGGGUUAGCAACUUACGUGUUCAAACGCAUUCCACAACACAUGAAAAAAGAAGGACACACGGAGGAAGAAGGGUUCAAGUCCAAAACUUUAACUUUGAUUUCAUUGAAGAUCAAAAUAAGCUUACAAAGCUGGGCCAAAGCCCGAAUACAAGCCGGAGCAAAAGAAAAACAAAAACAAAAGACCAACUAGUCC
rnacentral:lncRNA from 1 species